rnacentral:rRNA from 1 species
GAUGAACGCUGGCGGCGUGCCUAAUACAUGCAAGUCGAGCGAACAGACGAGGAGCUUGCUGCUCUGACGUUAGCGGCGGACGGGUGAGUAACACGUGGAUAACCUACCUAUAAGACUGGGAUAACUUCGGGAAACCGGAGCUAAUACCGGAUAAUAUAUUGAACCGCAGGGUUCAAUAGUGAAAGACGGUUUUGCGGUCACUUAUAGAUGGAUCCGCGCUGCAUUAGCUAGUUGGUAAGGUAACGGCUUACCAAGGCAACGAUGCGUAGCCGACCUGAGAGGGUGAUCGGCCACACUGGAACUGAGACACGGUCCAGACUCCUACGGGAGGCAGCAGUCGGGAAUCUUCCGCAAUGGGCGAAAGCCUGACGGAGCAACGCCGCGUGAGUGAUGAAGGUCUUCGGAUCGUAAAACUCUGUUAUUAGGGAAGAACAUCUGUGUAUGUAACUGUGCACUUCUUGACGGUACCUAAUCAGAAAGCCACGGCUAACUACGUG